GUCCACGCCCUAAACGAUGAUCACUCGAUGUUGGCGAUACACUGUCAGCGUCCAAGCGAAAGCGUUAAGUGAUCCACCUGGGGAGUACGAUCGCAAGAUUGAAACUCAAAGGAAUUGACGGGGGCCCGCACAAGCGGAGGAGCAUGUGGUUUAAUUCGAUGAUACGCGAGGAACCUUACCAGGGCUUGAAAGUUAGUGACCGCUGCCGAAAGGUGGCUUUCGCAAGACACGAAACUAGGUGCUGCAUGGCUGUCGU
rnacentral:rRNA from 1 species